CCUACGGGCGACAGCAGUGAGGAAUAUUGGUCAAUGGACGAGAGUCUGAACCAGCCAAGUAGCGUGAAGGAUGACUGCCCUAUGGGUUGUAAACUUCUUUUAUAUGGGAAUAAAAUGUUCCACGUGUGGGAUUUUGUAUGUACCAUAUGAAUAAGGAUCGGCUAACUCCGUGCCAGCAGCCGCGGUAAUACGGAGGAUCCGAGCGUUAUCCGGAUUUAUUGGGUUUAAAGGGAGCGUAGGUGGAUUGUUAAGUCAGUUGUGAAAGUUUGCGGCUCAACCGUAAAAUUGCAGUUGAAACUGGCAGUCUUGAGUACAGUAGAGGUGGGCGGAAUGCGUGGUGUAGCGGUGAAAUGCUUAGAUAUCACGAAGAACUCCGAUUGCGAAGGCAGUUCACUGGACUGCAACUGACACUGAGGCUCGAAAGUGUGGGUAUCAAACAGGAUUAGAUACCCCUGUAGUC
rnacentral:rRNA from 1 species